rnacentral:rRNA from 1 species
GUCAAGUCAUCAUGGCCCUUAUGUCCAGGGCGACACACGUGCUACAAUGGCCGGUACAGAGGGAAGCAAACCUGAGAAGGAAAGCAGAUCCCAGAAAGCCGGUCGCAGUUCGGAUUGAGGUCUGCAACUCGACCUCAUGAAGCUGGAAUCGCUAGUAAUCGCAGAUCAGCCAAGCUGCGGUGAAUACGUUCCCGGGCCUU